AAGGACAGACAGCACUAAUGUGCUGGGCGCUGAGGGCAUUGGAGAUGGUGUGAGGGAGGUGAGCCUUCACACCACUACCACCAACACUGUCAGAUCCUUCACGUCAAACCCUCACUCCAUGCAUCUGAGUCACCCCAAAGCAAUCGGCUAGGUUUGAGGUGUGGGCUAUGUUACAUUCGGCUAGGUUUGAGGUGUGGGCUAUGUUACAUUCGGCUAGGUUUGAGGUGUGGGCUAUGUUACAUUCGGCUAGGUUUGAGGUGUGGGCUAUGUUACUUUCGGCUAGGUUUGAGGUGUGGGCUAUGUUUAUGAGACGAGCGUGUUUUUGGACUGCAGGGGUCCCGUGUCUGAAGGGAGGGAAGGAUGGCAGGAAAGAAAGUAAGGAAGGAAGGAAAUGACGAUUUGGCUGCUGUUGCUAAAGGAGUGUGAGGUAUGAUGAGAUGCAUGCCACCUUCCUCUGUUGUUCCUGACCAGAGAUAUUAUAAUGUGGGCUGUAGCAGAGGUCACUUUGGAG
ensembl:lncRNA